UACAGAGGGUGCGAGCGUUGUUCGGAAUUAUUGGGCGUAAAGGGCGCGUAGGCGGUGCGGUAAGUCACCUGUGAAAUCUCCUGGCUCAACUGGGAGCUUGCAGGCGAAACUGCCGUGCUGGAGUGUGGGAGAGGUGCGUGGAAUUCCUGGUGUAGCGGUGAAAUGCGUAGAUAUCAGGAAGAACACCCGUGGCGAAAGCGGCUCUCUGGAACGGUACUGACGCUGAGACGCGAAAGCGUGGGGAGCGAACAGG
rnacentral:rRNA from 1 species